ACGCUGGCGGCGUGCCUAAUACAUGCAAGUCGAACGGACAAGUAAGAGCCUGCUCUUAUGAGUUAGUGGCGCACGGGUGAGUAAUGUAUAGCUAAUCUGCCCUACACUAGAGGACAACAGUUGGAAACGACUGCUAAUACUCUAUACUCCUCUCUAGCAUAAGUUAGAUAGGGAAAGUUUUUCGGUGUAGGAUGAGGCUAUAUUGUAUCAGCUAGUUGGUGGGGUAAUGGCUCACCAAGGCUAUGACGCAUAACUGGUCUGAGAGGAUGAUCAGUCACACUGGAACUGAGACACGGUCCAGACUCCUACGGGAGGCAGCAGUAGGGAAUAUUGCUCAAUGGGGGAAACCCUGAAGCAGCAACGCCGCGUGGAGGAUGACACUUUUCGGAGCGUAAACUCCUUUUGUUAGGGAAGAACAAUGACGGUACCUAACGAAUAAGCACCGGCUAACUCCGUGCCAGCAGCCGCGGUAAUACGGAGGGUGCAAGCGUUACUCGGAAUCACUGGGCGUAAAGGACGCGUAGGCGGAUUAUCAAGUCUCUUGUGAAAUCCUAUGGCUUAACCAUAGAACUGCUUGGGAAACUGAUAAUCUAGAGUGAGGGAGAGGCAGAUGGAAUUGGUGGUGUAGGGGUAAAAUCCGUAGAGAUCACCAGGAAUACCCAUUGCGAAGGCGAUCUGCUGGAACUCAACUGACGCUAAUGCGUGAAAGCGUGGGGAGCAAACAGGAUUAGAUACCCUGGUAGUCCACGCCCUAAACGAUGUAUACUAGUUGUUGCUAAGCUAGUCUUGGCAGUAAUGCACCUAACGGAUUAAGUAUACCGCCUGGGGAGUACGGUCGCAAGAUUAAAACUCAAAGGAAUAGACGGGGACCCGCACAAGCGGUGGAGCAUGUGGUUUAAUUCGAAGAUACGCGAAGAACCUUACCCG
rnacentral:rRNA from 1 species